rnacentral:rRNA from 1 species
AAUGAACGCUGGCGGCGUGCUUAACACAUGCAAGUCGUGCGCGAAGGUGGCUUCGGCUGCCGGAGAGCGGCGAACGGGUGAGUAACACGUGGGUGAUCUGCCUGGGGGCGGGGGAUAACCUGGGGAAACUCGGGCUAAUACCGCAUACGUUGGCGGGUUUACGGACUCGUCAAGAAAGCUGGCCUCUGCUUGCAAGCUAGCGCUCCCAGAGGAGCCCGCGGCUGAUAGCUAGUUGGUGAGGUAAUGGCUCACCAAGGCGACGAUCAGUAGCCGGCCUGAGAGGGUGAUCGGCCACACUGGGACUGAGACACGGCCCAGACUCCUACGGGAGGCAGCAGU